UGCCUCUCUCUUGACCAGAGGAAGAUGAGU
rnacentral:piRNA from 1 species